CUUGCCUGCAUGUACUACCUUUUGGUUAUGCUACUCGUAUCUUUGCUUUCGAUGUCUGUUUCUUUGCUUUCACUGACAGUCUUUUCGAUUGCGUGUUUUGGCAUUAUUUUUCCGUGAAGGGCGGGGUUUAGAGGGAGGCGUAGACUAUGAGUCUUCAUUGGCCCGCUAGUUUUGGAGUGACAGUUCGUCUUCAGCGCAAGCAAUUUGUUUUUCUUCAUAAUAUAAAAUUGCCAUACACCCAGGGAGGCUAUGCAAGAAAUGCAAUACAUUUUGGACAAUUAACGUUAGUAGUCAGAUUAUGUGGACCAGUGUAAUAUCACUCCGUCAUCGGUCAGGGCUAACAUACAUCUAAAUUGCCUAGAUGUAAUGCUAGCCUACAUCAAUCAUAACUACCAUGCUAAACUAUCCCUGGCUAUUUUUCUUGGCCAAGGCUAACGUUGAGCCAAAUCCUGCAAUCAUCCCAGCAGAGGCGACAGUCGUCAGGAACACUGCACCUUUCAUUAGCUGAAUUUUGUCUGUUUUUUUCUUUUGCCUACUUAAGUAGACGGUCUGACGUCACCACUACGCGUCAAAUCUUCCCUUUCUGUACCCGGAUGUUCUGAACAUGGUGUGUGUGUGUGUGAGAGAGAGAGAGCGAGAGUGAAAACCGUGACAACCCUAAAUAGCUAUUCCAAUACCUGAAGUCGAGACCAAAUAUUGCCUGAUACCAGCUGUUUGGUUGACAUGAUUUCAAAUUACAAUUUUCUUAUGUCCUCACAGUCUAUGGGGAGGCACAUUAUGGAGACGCUCCUGUACAGAUUACAGCAGGCUAUGCAAUGCCUUCCUCUGGUCCUUGAUUACUUAGUUUGUCCGCACCAUUGAGAUUAUAUUUAUCAGCUCACGGGUGGGCAUCAUUUGUGGAACAUUCCAACAGGAAUCUGUUCCAAAAACUUAGUAAAUAAGGUUGCCAACAAACAACGCAUACAAAGUUGUAUAGUGGCCGAAUAAAGUACCGUGUAGGGAGUGGGCUAUUUCAUUAAGUUUUCACUCACCACAUUUAUUCUGAAAAAGUUCUCAAACAUUAAGAAUAAGCUACGUGGUGAGUUGAUGCCUAUUCAGCUAUAUUACGCUAGUUGAAUUGAUCAUGCUACUUUGUAUACGUUGCUUGUACUUUGCAAAGUUUUUGGAACAGAUUCCUGUUGGAACGUUCCAGAAAUUAUACCCAUCCUCCGCUCACUAGCAAAUCAAGUAGACUUGCCACAAAAGGUAGUGCAGGGUUUCCCCAACCUGUAUAGUCUAGUCAAUGCUGCAAUGGAAGAAAUAUGUGCCCCAUCAAUUGUUGUUGAGUUGGAUGGCGAAAUGGGACGUCUUAAACUGAUUGUCAGAACAGCACCUUCAACAGCUGAUUGAAAUGGAUCUGCCUGUAUCUUGCAACUGCUUGGCAUCUCAACACAAACUGACCAAUGCAGAAUGCAAAAAUACGGUAUCGUGGUGAGGGAACAUGCAGCCAAAUGAUAGAUGAGGAGCUGGACAAUCUGGUGGACACAAUCAAGACAAGUUCACCACAAUUAGGAUGGUGAGAGAAUGUCUGAAAGUAGUGGGUCAUCGAGUCAGUGGACCCGAGUGUGGGACUCAGCGCAUCAUGUCGAUGCUGCAGGAAUACAGCAAAGAAUGGCACGACUUGGUUGUGUUGUCAGAACAUACUCUGUCCGGUGUCCUCUUUCCCUCAUACAUGUGGACACCAACCACACGUUGAUCAGCAUCUAGGGUGAGGACAGACUAAGGAGUGGAGAAUGUGGACAUCCCAAGAUGCAUGUUUCAUGUCUGUGGUUGUGGCAGGGGAAGCUUUAUCUCUGUUUGGAAGAUGAGGGCUCCCUUGAAGGCUGUUUGACGGGUCACCUAUUCUGUGCGCACUGUGUGCCUCCGAGCAGACCUAGACACCUUUACCAAUGGAUGGGAUAAACAUCCUCUGCACACCGAGCAAAAUCUGAUCCCCAACCAGCUAUGAUAAAGUACAGAAUCCUGUCACCUUCCCUGGCAAUGUGGAGGUAUAGAUUUUAAAAUGAUUUAAACAGCUUGGACGAUGCCUGCCUGCUGGGGGAGCAUGGCCAGGGAAUUGAGGUCCCACCAGUGGAGUGCCCAGGAUAUGACACUGCUCAAAGCAGCCAUUGACCCAACCUCACCAUCUCGAGACUAUGGACAAGAUAUUUAUGCAUCUGUUUUGAAGUAUGUGCUGCUACUGUUGGCUGUAUUAUCCUUAUACCGCUGCUUGAUACUGUCGCAAGGAAUUCGUCUAGUCCAGUAAUUCUAAAUUGCUGUAGUGUUAUGAAAUGUGUUCGCAGCAAAAUGAGACCAAUUGGCCUAUUUUUAAAAAUUAAAUUAAAAUAAUAAUAAUAAUGUUCUAUUUUUUUUAUUAAAUGUUAUUUGUUUAUCUUUAUGUAUUUUUGAUUGGAUAAAAUUUUCCACAACAUUAGUAACCAAAGAUUCAGUCAGACUAUUUUAAUUGUAUAAUAGAAUAGUCUUCAAACAAGGAGCUGCAGGGAAGAACUCAGAGUAAAUGGUUGCACGUCCCUUUAUGUAGUGAGAGGUAAUAAUACAAUCCUAUUGUUACAAGUUAUUUAUACAAGCAACAGUUCCAGAACACAAUGGCAUUGUGUUAGGGUGCAAGACAUACUAGGAGUCUAUGAAAGGCAUAUCACAGUCCAACACCGAAUAGGCUACAGAACAGCUCACCCCAAAUUCUGCCACCACACUAUGGACAAAGUUUAUUUAAAUAACUAAAAUACAAAUGGUUGCAGUCAUUAAAUGUAAAAAAUAAAUAAAAAAAAUGUUUUAACUACAUGGUAAACGGUGAUCCUUUUGAACAGAAAUUAAACCUUCAAAUAUAAACUAGCAACAGAAUGUCAAGUGAUUAAUCGGGUGUAGUAAUGACUAGGAUUCUAUGUUCAUAUGUAAGUGAUUGCUUUAUCUGCCGUCCCAAUGAAAACUAGUUUGAAAAUGAUAACAUUUUAUGGAAAAUAUAAAUGUCUCUGGACGAUGCACCGUGCUGCUUUGUUGACAAAAUGACGGACACUUCAUGGGCCAUAGACCUGCGGCUCAGGAUAAUGUGGGAUGUGCCACUUUGCUAUAUGAGGUCAAAAAAAGGGUAAAUAUUGUUUUGUCUUAUUUACAGUGAGUGUCUAAGGCCUACAUUUAAACAGUAUUUGUAUAAAAUACUUUAAAUAAUUUCUUAUGUGCCCCUGACCCAUCAGCCAUGGCAUAACUAUAGGGAUAGUGGGAACUGUUAAACUGGAUGGCUCCACUUCUUGUCCAUCUUUCUGUCCUACUAACUCACCGUGCACUGCCGCUUCCUUUUCCUCCAUUCCUCCUGAAACAAUUACCGGUGUGUGUUUUCUGGUGUCAAUGUGAAAAACAUUGCUUUGUUCAUAGUAUUAACUAUGGCUUUUGAAGGCAAAGUAAUUGGACUAUGUUACUAGGUGAGCAAUCCAAUAGAUGUUACCAUUUAUAAACUGGUAAUCAGCAACUGAACACAUUAUCUUCCCAGCCCUGUUGGUUUAUUACCAUUAAAUGUUGACAAUUUAAAAAAAUACAAAGGCUGACGCUCACCUGCAGUUUCCACAUCUUUAACAAAGUCCUUAAAGUUUGACUAUGGCAGCCUUGAAGGUUCCUCUCCCGCUCAUUUCAGGAGCGAUGUGGCCGACUACAGUGUCAGCAUUGGACUGGAGAAGGAUAAAUUAAAUGUAUAAAUAAAUCUGACUCAUACAACACAACUAGUAAUAAAACAUUAAUUAACUGCAAUCUUCCCCCAGGGACAGACUCUUGCAGAGAUUUGUCUGCUUCUGACAGAUUUCCAGGAAGCCGUAGACUGAAUAAAAGGUUUUCAGGCCUUUGUAUUCUUGCCUGGUGUUCUAGAAGAAGGGUUCAUUUUUCUUUUUUCAAUGGCAGCCUGCCUCCGGAAGAGGUUCAGAAAGGACCUUCAAGCAAAAGUGAGAAAAUUCACAUUGAUAAGGCUAUGUUUGAGUUGAUUUAAUUUAAGAAUUGUAAUGAGAAACGGUGUAGUGAGGUGGAAGAGGCAUACAAGAUAGGGUGUCACUAUCAGAAAGAGAGAGAUUUAAGUGUGCAUCACUAUGUAUCAGAGAGAGCAUGUCUAUUAAUCUUAUUUUGUGUCUGCAAAUGUGUAAAGUACCAAAAUAACAAUGUUGCAUGUGUAACAUGCAAAAAAGGUGUGAGUGCGUGAGACAUGAUGAGGAAAGUAAUGCAUCAUUUACAGAUUGGCUGAAUUUAUUAAUCGUCAAAAUAGGGUAGACCCUAUGAUGGGUUGAGUAUAGACAGCAAAAGUACACAUUUCCUGUAUUCUAAGACCAUUGAUAUGCACCUGGCCAUCCUGGUUACUGGAGUAAUGCAGCUAUCUCUGGGUUUGUCCCUGCACCUCUGUCAGCUGAUGAUGCCCCUGAACCAUGCAAUUGAUGUACCUGUGCUUGCUGAUGCAGUGGCACUGGACUCUGACACUUAUGACACUUGUCCGGGGGUGUCCUUGGAUGGGGCCACAGUGUCUCCUGACCCCUCCUGUCUCAGCCUCCAGUAUUUAUGCUGCAGUAGUUUAUGUGUCGGGGGGCUGGGGUCAGUUUGUUAUAUCUGGGGUACUUCUCAUGUCCUAUUCGGUGUCCUGUGUGAAUCUAAGUGUGCGUUCUCUAAUUCUCUCCUUCUCUCUCUCGGAGGACCUGAGCCCUAGGACCAUCUGACAUGAUGACUCCUUGCUGUCCCCAGUCCACCUGGCCAUGCUGCUGUUCCAGUUUCAACUGACCUGAGCCCUAGGACCAUGCCCCAGGACUACCUGACAUGAUGACUCCUUGCUGUCCCCAGUCCACCUGGCCAUGCUGCUGCUCCAGUUUCAACUGUUCUGCCUUAUUAUUAUUCGACCAUGCUGGUCAUUUAUGAACAUUUGAACAUCUUGGCCAUGUUCUGUUAUAAUCUCCACCCGGCACAGCCAGAAGAGGACUGGCCACCCCACAUGGCCUGGUUCCUCUCUAGGUUUCUUCCUAGGUUUUGGCCUUUCUAGGGAGUUUUUCCUAGCCACCGUGCUUCUACACCUGCAUUGCUUGCUGUUUGGGGUUUUAGGCUGGGUUUCUGUACAGCACUUUGAGAUAUCAGCUGAUGUACGAAGGGCUAUAUAAAUAAAUUUGAUUUGAUUUGAUAUUCAUAGUCUGGGUCAGCACAGAGAUGAGGCCAAAACCACCUCUGAAUACUCUGCUGUGAACAUCAGCUGGAUAUAUGGGGAAAUGCAUGAUCAUACUUGACCAAAUUGGAAUGUCUCUAGCUUAAAUAGCCAGCUAGUCCAGAAUAUUUUUCUAAGGGUAAUUCAGAUAUGACUAGUUUGAAAGUAUGCUUUCUGUAAACCAAGUAGCUGUCCGUAAAGGUCGAAAUGUGAUUUCAAUAUCAUGAUUUUAGUGUCGUCAUGGUGGAUACAUGUAACGUUACCUAGCUAGCUAACUGGAUACAUUAGUGAUGGGUCUAAAAUCAAAAUGGCUUAUUUCGACGUGACUUGGUUUAAUAAAAACAUGGACAAA